ensembl:snRNA U6 U6 spliceosomal RNA
UUGUUAUGGCAGCACACAUACUAAAAUUGUAUUGAUACAGAGAAGAUUAGCAUGGCCCCUGUGAAAGGAUGACACGCAAAUCCCUGAAAUGGGAGUCGAGUUC